CGUAGGUAAUUUUUAAUUUUCUGCCAGCUACUUUAAUAGCAAAAAGAAAUUAAUUUUUUUGCUAUUAAAAUUAAGGUGGAAUUUUUUUGUUUGUUUUUUUGAGAUAGAGUCUCACUCUGUUGCCCAGGCUGGAGUGCAAUGGUGCCAUCUCAGCUCACUGCAACCCCUGCCUUCUGGGAUCAAGCAAUUCUCUUGUCUCAGCCUCCCAAGUAGCUGGGAUUACAGGCAACCGCCACCACGCCUGGCUAAUUUUUGUAUUUUUAGUAGAGACGGGGUUUCACCAUAUUGGUCAGGCUGGCCUUGAACUCCUCAGAUGAUCCGCCUGCCUCGGCCUCCCAAAGUGCUGGGAUUAUAACCGUGAGUCACCGUGCCUGGCUAGAAUUGAUUUUAAAUACGCAUCUUGUUUAGCCCAAUAUAUCCAAAGUAUUAUUUCAACAAGUAAUCAAUAUUUUUGUUUUUUGUUUGUUUGUUUGUUUUUUUCAGACAGAGUCUCACUCUGUCGCCCAGGCUGGAGUGCAGUGGCGCGAUCUCGGUUCGCUGCAAGCUCCGCCUCCCGGGCUCACGCCAUUCUCCUGCCUCAGCCUCCCAAGUAGCUGGGACCACAGGCGCCCACCACCACGCCUGGAGAAUUUUUGUAUUUUUAGGAGAGACGGAGUUUCACCGUGUUAGCCAGGAUAGUCUUGGUCUCCUGACCUCGUGAUCCACGCGCCUUGGCCUCCCAAAGUGCUGGGAUUACAGGCGUGAGCCACCGCGCCCGGCCAGUAUUUUUAAAUCAUUGAGAGUUUUAGAUUUUUUUCAUACUAAGUAUUUGAAGUCUCGUGUGUAUUUUAUAUGUUCAGCACAUCUCACUUGGACACCUUUCUUAGCCACAUGUGGCAAGCGGCUGCCAUACUGGACAGUGCAGGUCUAGGAGACAUUAAUACUCACAUCCACUAAACAUCAAGGUACAGUGAUUUUGAGUGCCACUAAGAGGUGAAUGAUGCUUCCAGAGACCAUAACAUGAACCCACUUGGUCUGUAGGUUAGGGGUGGCCUCUCUGUGGUGGGGGGAAGGGAUGGGGGACAGGGGACACUUAACCGAGGUCAUAAAGGAUAAGUAGGAGUCACCACAGUGAAGAUGGGGGUAGUGGGAGAGAGCACCCCAAGCUGGGAGCAGCUUGUGCUAGGAUCAGGGUCUUUGGGGCUUCAUUAUUUAUUUUUAGAGACAAUGUCUUGCUUGAGUGCAGUGGUAUAGUCAUAGCUCCCUGUAACCUCAAACUCCUGGGCUCAAGCAUCCUCCUGUCCCAGCCUCCUGAGUAGCUGGGACUAUAGACACACACCACCACACCCGACUAAUUUUUGUAUUUUUUUUUUUCUGGCUUUUUUGUUUCUUUGAGACAGAGUCUCUGUUACCCAGGCUGGAGUGCAGUGGUGCCAUCUUGGCUCACUGCAACCUCCGCCUCCUGGGUUCAAGUGAUUCUCCUGUCUCAGCCUCCCGAGUAGCUGGGACUACAGGUGUGCACCACCACACCCGGCUAAUUUUUGUAUUUUUUAGUAGAGACAGGGUUUCACCGUAUUGGUCAGGCUGGUGUUGAACUCCUGAUCUCAGGUGAUCCGCCCACCUUAGCCUCCCAAAGUGCUGGGAUUUACAGGCAUGAGCCUCGGCCCCCAGCCAGUCGCCAGAGUUUUCUAGUAGGUCUGAGUUUGGUGAGAGUUGUGACAGUGUCAGAGACAAAACUGGCCAAUCGGGCCCUGGGAACCAUCAGGAAGGGUUCUAGGGGAGGCUCAUGGUUGUCAGAGGGUCUCCCCAGACACCCGAGCACCCACCCGCUUCGUGGAUGAUGAGGAGCUAGCGUAUGUGAUUCAGCGGUACCGGGAGGUGCACGACAUGCUUCACACCCUGCUGGGGAUGCCCACCAACAUCCUGGGUGAGUGCCCCCAACCCUGACGGCCUGUCUCCCUGGGGUGGCUUCAGGGCCAGGGCAGGGCUUGCCUAUCUCCACCACCCUCUGCAUCACCUGGCUUGGUGCCUCAAUUUCUGCUUUACCUGAACAUCUUAGUAGCAUCUUUGCCACAUGUCCCCCUUCUCCCUCCCACUGCCCCUCAGGGCUCCUGCACUAAUGGAGCAGCAGAGCCCAUCUUCAGGGCUUCUGGUAUCUUUUUAGGCUUUAGCUGCCUCCCUGCUCUGAAACUCAGUAGCUCCCUAAGGCCUGCAGGAACCAUCCUGGAGUGUUUAGCCUGGCUUAUGGGGUCAUGGGGUCCCCUGCGCCCUGACCCCAGGCUUCCUUUCCAUCCCUUACUCCCUUCUGUUCACUCUUGGGCCCUCUCCCGUACUCCAAGCCAAGUGCCCCAAGGCCCAGCACAGGCCAGGACUGGGCACAGCUGACCCCAGUAGAGAUUAGGGAGGAACAGUUGCCUCUCUUUACCCUGCUAUGAGCACCACUGGCCUUUCCUUCAGAUAGCCUGUUCACCUCCCAACCCAUCCCUCACCCACAGGGGAGAUCGUGGUGAAAUGGUUUGAGGCUGUCCAGACUGGCCUGCCCAUGUGCAUCCUGGGUGCACUCUUUGGACCGAUCCAACUUGGUGCUCAGAGCCUGCAAGUGCUGGUCUCGGAGUUGAUCCCAUGGGCUGUUCAGAAUGGGCGCACAGCCCCAUGUGUCCUCAACCUGUACUAUGAGCGGCGCUGGGAGCAGUCCCUGAGGGCUCUGCGGGAGGAGCUGGGCAUUACGGCACCACCCAUGCACAUCCAGGGCUUGGCCUGAGCUCCUGAGCCAGCGGGGCCUGGCCUACCUCCCCCACCCACUGCUUCCCUUGGAGGCAGAGGGCUCCCUUGACUACCUUUGUUCCUCUUUGAACACUGACCUUUGGACAACAUUUAUCAUAAUUUGUCAUAGCCACUGCUGAGUGGCCUUGAAGACGAACCCCACAGGGAGCAAGCAGUACAGUGGCACUCCCAGGGGGACCAGCAGCUGCCCAAGGAGAACCAUGCAUGAACAGUAUCAGUCGUCUGGGCUUAUGCUGGGAUUGUUGCAGACUCCUGUUGCAACUCCUCCCAGCCAGCCAGGUCUGCUGGGGGCCAGGCUGGGUAUCCUCACAGGAGUGAGGGCUACAUCCAAUUCCAAAAGCCUGAGAAGAGAGAAGCAGAGGGGGAGGUGAGUGUGUGAAUAAAGGCUCCCAUCAGG
rnacentral:sRNA from 1 species